rnacentral:hammerhead_ribozyme from 1 species
AUCCAGCUGACGAGUCCCAAGUAGAUCGAUACGCGCGUCCUGGAU